UACGUAGGGGGCAAGCGUUGUCCGGAUUUAUUGGGCGUAAAGAGCGUGUAGGCGGCCAUACAGGUCAGCUGUGAAAACUCGAGGCUCAACCUCGAGACGUCGGUUGAAACCGUAUGGCUAGAGUCCGGAAGAGGAGAGUGGAAUUCCCGGUGUAGCGGUGAAAUGCGCAGAUAUCGGGAAGAACACCCGUGGCGAAGGCGGCUCUCUGGGCAAUUUCUGACGCUGAUGCACGAAGACUAGGGGAGCAAACGGG
rnacentral:rRNA from 1 species